GCACGUUGGUAUCGCUGUCGGACGUGGUGAGUACACGUGGGCACGUGCCUUUAGGUUCGGAAUAACUCAGGGAAACUUGUGCUAAUACCGAAUGUGCCCUUCGGGGGAAAGAUUUAUCGCCUUUAGAGCGGCCCGCGUCUGAUUAGCUAGUUGGUGAGGUAAAGGCUCACCAAGGCGACGAUCAGUAGCUGGUCUGAGAGGAUGAUCAGCCACAUUGGGACUGAGACACGGCCCAAACUCCUACGGGAGGCAGCAGUGGGGAAUCUUGCGCAAUGGGCGAAAGCCUGACGCAGCCAUGCCGCGUGAAUGAUGAAGGUCUUAGGAUUGUAAAAUUCUUUCAGUAGGGACGAUAAUGACGGUACCUACAGAAGAAGCCCCGGCUAACUUCGUGCCAGCAGCCGCGGUAAUACGAAGGGGGCUAGCGUUGCUCGGAAUUACUGGGCGUAAAGGGAGCGUAGGCGGACAUUUAAGUCAGGGGUGAAAUCCCGGGGCUCAACCUCGGAAUUGCCUUUGAUACUGGGUGUCUUGAGUGUGAGAGAGGUAUGUGGAACUCCGAGUGUAGAGGUGAAAUUCGUAGAUAUUCGGAAGAACACCAGUGGCGAAGGCGACAUACUGGCUNCAUUACUGACGCUGAGGCUCGAAAGCGUGGGGAGCAAACANGGAUUAGAUACCCUGGUAGUCCACGCCGUAAACGAUGAUUGCUAGUUGUCGGGAUGCAUGCAUUUCGGUGACGCAGCUAACGCAUUAAGCAAUCCGCCUGGGGAGUACGGUCGCAAGAUUAAAACUCAAAGGGAAUUGACGGGGGCCCGCACAAGCGGUGGNAGCAUGUGGUUUAAUUCCGGAAGCAACGCGCAGAACCCUUACCACCUUUUGACAUGCCUGGACCGCCAGAGAGAUCUGGCUUUCCCUUCGGGGACUAGGACACAGGUGCUGCAUGGCUGUCGUCAGCUCGUGUCGUGAGAUGUUGGGUUAAGUCCCGCAACGAGCGCAACCCUCGCCAUUAGUUGCCAUCAUUUAGUUGGGAACUCUAAUGGGACUGCCGGUGCUAAGCCGGAGGAAGGUGGGGAUGACGUCAAGUCCUCAUGGCCCUUACAGGGUGGGCUACACACGUGCUACAAUGGCGACUACAGAGGGUUAAUCCUUAAAAGUCGUCUCAGUUCGGAUUGUCCUCUGCAACUCGAGGGCA
rnacentral:rRNA from 1 species